CAACAGUAACUACAAAUAUCAUUUCUCUGGUUUUCUAAACACAAGAAAAGCCCUAGCCACCGACCUAGCUUUUGGCUUUUGUUUUCUCCUCCGUCCCUCCUUCUCAUUCUUUCCCUUCUCUUUUGUUUCAAUUUUCUUUUGAGUUUUGUCUCAAUUUUUUUUCUGAAUUUGUCUCAGAUUUGGGCUUCAUGCCUCCUCCCUCCUUCCCUCCCUCUCUUUUGGUCGCGCCUUUCCAAACCCAAACCUUCAUCUUCCCUCACCCUUUCCCCUACCUCCCUUCCUCAUAAUCUAUCCCCACCCCAUUCUUUGCUUCGAUCUGCGAUCUUUGAACCGAAAAUGAAUGCAAGAUCCAUUUCUAUCCCUUACUUCCCCUCCCCCAACUGGGUUGGUAUCCCCUCAAGGUCUAGUGUUUUGCGGCUUUAGCCAAAGUAAAGAGCAGCUCCAGCGGGAGCAACUGCUAGAGGGACAGGCUGCAAAACAGGGCUUGAUUGCCGGAGGGAGGAAGUCCAACGUUGGCUGGCGAGCGAGCCCGAGCAGGCCCGAGCUCCAGGCCCGUGGAUUCGUGCCGGCCCGAGCGCCCGAAGGCUAUCUGACGUGGGCUGACGUCAGGGUGACAGAAGCCACAUUAUUAAGGCACCCAUCGGCAUUGACGCCACCCUUUCCGAUCUUCUCACCGACGUUGGCGUCCCUUCAUCUCCUCUUUCUUUGUCUCCGUUUGCUUCCCAUCCUCCUCUAUUUUGUCUCAAACAAUCACUCUCUCUCCAACUAAAAUCGACGACACCGACUCUGAUUCAAAGGCCUGCAACAUUCUGACCACCCGUGCGGUGGAUCUGGUGGGAGAUGGAGCAACAAACAGGAGAGACAAAAAAGGAGGACGAGGAGAGAGAAUGAAGGACAGAGAGGUAAACGGAUUGAGAGCUCAAGCUCUCGGCUUCAAUGGUAGGACCUAGCACCAUGCACUGAUGCCACAUGCAAGGCCAUGGUUGGGUUCCUUGAGUUCCAGGGAUUCCAGAAAUAUUAUUUUUGAGCUUGAUUUGGAAGGUUUGAAGACGAAGAAGGAAGAGAGCUCACAAGAGUGAGCUGGAAAGGAGGGAGAGAAAGAAAGAAAAAGGAUGAGGGAGAUAGAAAGAAAAGAGAGAGACAAAGAGACAGAGAGGGAGAGAGAGGAAGAAUCGGUCAAAUGAGGGGAAAACGGGGAAGGGUGAUGGGGAUGGGUGAGGAAAAAAUAGUAAUAUUUUAUUACCAAUUGACAGGGCUAUUCAGUAUAGGGGUGGAGAUGCAAAAAGCGAUUACUGUUCAUUGAAUGCAAUUACUGUUCACUGGGUGGAUAGCAUAGUUAAUAGCCUGGAGGAGGGUUUCCAACGGUGGAACUACUCUUAUAUAUAAGGUGAAAAUAAGGAAGGUCAUCAUGCAUGAAAACUAAUAAGGAGCUAGGUUAAUUUAUGUGUUUACCUAGCAAGAUGUGAGCGAGGCUAUUGUGCUCCAUGUAAUCAUAAACAAGAAUUCUACGGCGGCCUUCCACACAACCACCGCGCAUCUUGACCAGAUUUUGAUGGCGAAUACUGGAGAGUGAAGCUAGCUCAGACAUGAACUCCCUAUCUCCUUGCUUUGAUUCAGCUGAAAGAACUUUCACGGCCACGGCCACUCCGUCAUUAAGUUUUCCCUU